GUCUCUGUAGCGCAAUGGAUAGCGCGUUGGACUUCUAAUCCAAAGGUCGUGGGUUUGAAUCCCACCUGGUAUG
rnacentral:tRNA from 1 species